GGCGAGCGCGCUACCUGCAGUCGACGAUGACUUUUGUGCUUGCACAGAAUGAUUAGUGGCGAACGGGUGAGUAACACGUGAGUAACCUGCGGGUGACUCUGGGAUAAGCCUGGGAAACUGGGUCUAAUACUGGAUAUGCACCGUAGACCGCAUGGUUUUUGGUGGAAAGAAUUUUGGUCAGGGAUGGACUCGCGGCCUAUCAGCUUGUUGGUGAGGUAAUGGCUCACCAAGGCGACGACGGGUAGCCGGCCUGAGAGGGUGACCGGCCACACUGGGACUGAGACACGGCCCAGACUCCUACGGGGAGGCAGCAGUGGGAAUAUUGCACAAUGGGCGAAAGCCUGAUGCAGCGACGCCGCGUGAGGGAUGACGGCCUUCGGGUUGUAAACCUCUUUCAGUAGGGAAGAAACGAAAGUGACGGUACCUGCAGAAGAAGCGCCGGCUAACUACGUGCCAGCAGCCGCGGUAAUACGUAGGGCGCAAGCGUUAUCCGGAAUUAUUGGGCGUAAAGAGCUCGUAGGCGGUUUGUCGCGUCUGCCGUGAAAGUCCGAGGCUCAACUUCGGAUCUGCGGUGGGUACGGGCAGACUAGAGUGAUGUAGGGGAGACUGGAAUUCCUGGUGUAGCGGUGAAAUGCGCAGAUAUCAGGAGGAACACCGAUGGCGAAGGCAGGUCUCUGGGCAUCUACUGACGCUGAGGAGCGAAAGCAUGGGGAGCGAACAGGAUUAGAUACCCUGGUAGUCCAUGCCGUAAACGUUGGGCACUAGGUGUGGGGGACAUUCCACGUUUUCCGCGCCGUAGCUAACGCAUUAAGUGCCCCGCCUGGGGAGUACGGCCGCAAGGCUAAAACUCAAAGGAAUUGACGGGGCCCCGCACAAGCGGCGGAGCAUGCGGAUUGGUUCGAUGCAACGCGAAGAACCUUACCAAGGCUUGACAUGUGCUAGAUCGCCAUAGAAAUGUGGUUUCCCCUUUGGGGCUGGUUCACAGGUGGUGCAUGGUUGUCGUCAGCUCGUGUCGUGAGAUGUUGGGUUAAGUCCCGCAACGAGCGCAACCCUCGUUCUAUGUUGCCAGCACGUUAUGGUGGGGACUCAUAGGAGACUGCCGGGGUCAACUCGGAGGAAGGUGGGGACGACGUCAAAUCAUCAUGCCCCUUAUGUCUUGGGCUUCACGCAUGCUACAAUGGCCGGUACAAUGGGUUGCGAUACUGUGAGGUGGAGCUAAUCCCAAAAAGCCGGUCUCAGUUCGGAUUGGGGUCUGCAACUCGACCCCAUGAAGUCGGAGUCGCUAGUAAUCGCAGAUCAGCAACGCUGCGGUGAAUACGUCGACCCCAUGAAGUCGGAGUCGCUAGUAAUCGCAGAUCAGCAACGCUGCGGUGAAUACGUUCCCGGGCCUUGCACUCACCGCCCGUCAAGUCACGAAAGUUGGUAACACCCGAAGCCGAUGGCCUAACCCACUUGUGUGGAGGGAGCCUCAAGUGACGAGCUGAAAA
rnacentral:rRNA from 1 species